rnacentral:rRNA from 1 species
AUUGAACGCUGGCGGCAGGCCUAACACAUGCAAGUCGAGCGGAUGAAGGGAGCUUGCUCCUGGAUUCAGCGGCGGACGGGUGAGUAAUGCCUAGGAAUCUGCCUGGGAGUGGGGGAUAACGUCCGGAAACGGGCGCUAAUACCGCAUACGUCCUGAGGGAGAAAGUGGGGGAUCCUCGGACCUCACGCUAUCAGAUGAGCCUAGGUCGGAUUAGCUAGUUGGUGGGGUAAAGGCCUACCAAGGCGACGAUCCGUAACUGGUCUGAGAGGAUGAUCAGUCACACUGGAACUGAGACACGGUCCAGACUCCUACGGGAGGCAGCAGUGGGGAAUAUUGGACAAUGGGCGAAAGCCUGAUCCAGCCAGGCCGCGUGUGUGAAGAAGGUCUUCGGAUUGUAAAGCACUUUAAGUUGGGAGGAAGGGAAGUAAGUUAAUACCUUGCUGUCUUGACGUUACCAACAGAAUAAGCACCGGCUAACUUCGUG